CACACACCAAACUGCGCAUGUUGUUUUCGAAGAAAAUUCAAACGUGUCAGUUUGACACUUUCACGAGUGUGGUGACAUCCUCCCAAAGUCCAAGGCAGUGCUGGAUCUUUCCUUAGAUGCUACAGAUGAACAUCAUCACUACUUCACUAUUGUCCUAGCAAUUCUAUUUACUAUAAGGUUAUCAGUAGGGCCAGGAGUUUUCCCAGGUCAGCUCACAUGCUGAUCAGGGAACACUCCUCGUCCUAUUAAUCAGAAUGUUGUCACAGUAAUCAGGACAUACAAUACUGAAUGUUGUCACAGUAAUCAGGACAUACAAUACUGAAUGUUGUCACAGUAAUCAGGACAUACAAUACUGAAUGUUGUCACAGUAAUCAGGACAUACAAUACUGAAUGUUGUCACAGUAAUCAGGACAUACAAUACUGAAUGUUGUCACAGUAAUCAGGACAUACAAUACUGAAUGUUGUCACAGUAAUCAGGACAGACAAUACUGAAUGUUGUCACAGUAAUCAGGACAUACAAUACCGAAUGUUGUCACAGUAAUCAGGACAUACAAUACUGAAUGUUGUCACAGUAAUCAGGACAUACAAUACUGAAUGUUGUCACAGUAAUCAGGACAUACAAUACUGAAUGUUGUCACAGUAAUCAGGACAUACAAUACUGAAUGUUGUCACAAUAAUCAGGACAUACAAUACUGAAUGUUGUCACAAUAAUCAGGACAUACAAUUCUGAAUGUUGUCACAGUAAUCAGGACAUACAAUUCUGAGUGGUCUUUCAGUCAGUUACAAUGCUUCAGUUUUCUCUCUUCUCACUCCUCUGGUAAAACCUCUGAAGGAGGCCCUGGAGUCCCCUCCCCAGGCUCUGUCCCCAUGGAGGGCCGCUUCGAUGCUGAGACCCCCUCUCCCUCCCCUCAUCCGCAGGGCUUUCUACACCCUUUGGAAUUACCUGACAGCUGGACAGGUAGGCCAGGAGGCCAAACAAGCACCUGUCAUUGUAGACAGGUGAGGACAGCAUCAAAGAGUUUUGGUGUUGGAUAAAGUUUGAUGAGUUGGGAUAUGUUAUUCUUUCUGAAAGAUAUGUUAUCGUUUCUGUAUGGUAGGGAUCAUGUGCAUAACUUCAACUCAUGUGCAUUGUUCACGUUGUUCAAUGACAUUAAUGGAUCAUUUAUUUAAAAUGUGAAGUGCUCCCCGUUUGUAGCAAUUUGUCCUUACACUGGCUCAUAUUAUGUCACUAUUUUAUUCAAAUGUAUUUAAUCAGGGAAUCCCAUUGAGACCAUGGCCUCUUGCAAGGGAACCCUGCACACAAUCAUAUUCACAAUUCCAACGCAAUAAAAACGUGCAAUAUGACACAAGCAAUUGAAGAAAAGUAACUUACAAAACACAUCAUGAAAAUAAACACAUUCCUCAGUAAAAGUCAUCAAUCAGCUGUCUGAACUGUCCUAGUGGCACGGAGACAUCCAACAUUUGAGAGCUCUGGAGAUCAUUCAACAAGUAAGGUGCAAAAAAAAUCUAUAUACAGACCUACUUAACUCAGUGGAGACUGAAGGGUUAUCCUGAGUUGGCCAUCCCUGUGAUCAGGUCUGGAGUAAUUUAACAAUGAAGUAAGGUACGGCAGAAGUUUGCACAAGAGGGCUUUAGUAACAAAACGAGAGCAGCGCCUUGAUCUAUGAGACUUUAGAGAGGGCCAGCCUACUUUCUGAUAUAGAAUGUGGUGAUGUGUACUUAACCUAUCACCCAUAUUUAAGCGUAUUGCAAAGGCUUCAAUACUGUGGCAGCUGUAUUCUUAUAGACCAUAUCACCAUAGUCUAAAGCCGGAAUGAAUGUCGACUGAAUGAUUUGUUUUCUGCUAUUUAACUGGAACGAAAUGAAACCUGAAGUUGGUAAAUAUAGCUGUCAAUAACCACCAAACACCACAAGUAGUCACCAGGCGUAGUCGCUGGUCUUUGAGGCUCACUAUAACCCACUACUUCCCUAUACUCUCCAUUCUCCCAGGUACUGGCACUGUGGCACAGAGCAGCCUCUGCCAUAGCCAUGGCGGUCAUGGCAGUAACUACAUAUGAGCACACCGAGUUCCGGACCUCUGUAAUGUUGUAUAAUUUGAAAAAAUUAAUAAUAAUUCAAAAUAUAUGUUUUGUACAAAAAUAUGGUAAACAUUUCUCCCAGCGUUGAUCAAAGCUCAGAAUGCUUCUAUUCUCAAUCUGACUGAGUUCUAAUCGCGUCUACCUCUGUGAAUGAGUGGAAUCGUAAACAGUGGUUUGUUCAUUAUGUUUACCUGUGUCCCCUGAAUUAGCCUCCCGGAUUUGCCUUUUUAGCAGCAAAUGCACCUCUCUUGCCGUCUCGUGGUAGUGGCCAAGGGCCUGAGAAAGGAAUUACCCCAGCUCACAGUCGGCUCAGUAGUCAACUUGAGAUGCUGAUGACAGUGUGUUUGCGAGAUGCCAGACAAAAGGCAAUUUUAAAACCAUCUAGCGACUCCUGCCGUGUCUACAGAUAUCUCCCAAACAAACAAAAAACGACUCUCGGAGAAUGAGUGCAUAACUGGUAAAUAGUUGCUUAUAGACCCCCCCUUCCGGACCUCACUAAAACUCAAACCCAAGUUCUGAUGGCACAGCUGGCGCUGCAGUACAGCGCCCUUAUCCACUGCGCCACCCGGGAGGCCCCGUAAAUCACGGUAUUUAACUAACUUUAAAGUACUUUUUUUUAGGAGAGAUUGGUCUCUGCCCAGACAGCAGGGAGACAAUCUGCGAGCAGCAGCUCAAGAUUAUUUGAUUGGCAGUGCUGGUCGUCUAGUGAUGAUUGUUUGUCCCGCUUCAGCAACCUCAUUCCUUUACUGACAUGUAAAAUGCCCAUUCAUAUCUCCAGAGAAUGUUCCGUAGUGUAGCCUAACCUAACAGACAGGCAAACAGAUAUGCCGUAGGCGAGUCGCUUUCAAGGGGCCACAUUCCAAAAUGUCUGAAAAGGGUAAUCCAUUUUUUAUUUUUUUAUUUAACCUUUAUUUAGCCAGGUAGGCUAGUUGAGAACAAGUUCUCAUUUACAACUGCGACUUGGCCAAGAUAAAGCAAAGCAGUGCGACACAAACAACACAUGGAGUUACACAUGGAAUAAACAAGCGUACAGUCAAUAACACAAUAGAAAAAAAGAAAGCCCUAUAUACAGUGUGUGCAAAUGGCGUGAGGAGGUAGGCAAUAAAUAGGCCAUAGUAGCGAAGUAAUUACAAUUUAGCAGAUUAACACGAGUGAUAAAUGAGCAGAUGAUGAUGUGCAAGUAGAGAUACUGGUGUGCAAAAGAGCAGAAAAGUAAAUAAAUCAAUAUGGGGAUGAGGUAGGUAGAUUGGGUGGCUAUUUACAGAUGGACUAUGUACAGUUGCAGCAAUCGGUUAGCUGCUCAGAUAGCUGAAGUUUAAAGUUAGCGAGGGAAAUAUAAGUCUCCAGCUUCAGAGAUUUUUGUGACUCUUUCCAGUCACUGGCAGCAGAGAAUUGGAAGGAUAGGCGGCCAAAGGUAGGUGUUGGCUUUGGGGAUGAACAGUGAGAUAUACCUGCUGGAGCGUGUGCUACGGGUGGGUGUUGUUAUCGUGGCCAGUGAGCUGAGAUAAGGCGGAGCUUUACCCAGCAUAGACUUAUAGAUGAUGACUUAUAGAUGACCACUACAUAUUCUGGCGACGAAUAUGUAGUGAGGGCCAGCCGACUAGAGUAUACAGGUCGCAUUGGUGGGUGGUAUAAGGGGCUUUGGUAACAAAACGGAUGGCACUGUGACAGACUGCAUCCAGUUUGCUGAGUAGAGUAUCGGAAGCUAUUUUGUAGAUGACAUCGCCGAAGUCGAGGAUCAGUAGGAUAGUCAGUUUUACUAGGGUAAGUUUGAUGGCGUGAGUGAAGGAGGCUUUGUUGCGAAAUAGAAAGCCGAUUCAAGAUUUGAUUUUGGAUUGGAGAUGUUUAAUAUGUGUCUGGAAGGAGAGUUUACAGUCUAGCCAGUGUCACGUUCUGACCUUUAUUUCCUUUGUUUUGUAUUUAUUUAGUAUGGUCAGGGCGUGAGUUGGGUGGGCAGUCUAUGUUUGUUUUUCUAGGUUUUGGGUAUUUCUAUGUUUCAGCCUAGUAUGGUUCUCAAUCAGAGGCAGGUGUCAUUAGUUGUCUCUGAUUGAGAAUCAUACUUAGGUAGCCUGGGUUUCACUGUGUGUUGGUGGGUGAUUGUUCCUGUCUCUGUGUUUUGCACCAGAUAGGGCUGUUUUUGGUUUUCCACGUUUAUUGUUUUGUAGUGUUCAUGUUUAUCUGUUUUUAUUAAACAUGAAUCAAUAUAA